GACGAACGCUGGCGGCGUGCUUAACACAUGCAAGUCGAACGGAAAGGCCCUGCUUUUGUUGGGUGCUCGAGUGGCGAACGGGUGAGUAACACGUGAGUAACCUGCCCUUGCCUUUGGGAUAACUUCAAGAAACUGGGGCUAAUACCGGAUUGUAGCUCCAGCGCCAUGGUGGGGGUUGGAAAGUUUCGGCGGUGUGGGAGGGACUUGCGGCUUAUCAGCUAGUUGGUGGGGUAGUGGCUUACCAAGGCUUUGACGGGUAGCCGGCCUGAGAGGGUGACCGGCCACAUUGGGACUGAGAUACGGCCCAGACUCCUACGGGAGGCAGCAGUGGGGAAUAUUGCACAAUGGGCGGAAGGCUGAUGCAGGAACGCCGCGUGCGGGAUGACGGCCUUCGGGUUGUAAACCUCUUUCGCCUGUGACGAAGCGUGAGUGACGGUAAUGGGUAAAGAAGCACCGGCUAACUACGU
rnacentral:rRNA from 1 species